UAUGUAAUAAAUGAAAAGAAAAUAAGGAAAUUUACCAAUUUAUACAUAAAAUAUUCUCAUUCCUUUUUUAUAAAUCACAAUAGACUUUUGGACCGAUCCUAAAUGAGGACACCCCUAAUUUUUUUGUUCUUAUCUAGAUGUUUCAUAUUAAAUAAACGGAAAAUGGUACAACAGAAUUUAAAACAGAGAAACAAAAUCGUAAAAAUAACAAAAUUCUCCAUAAUCAAAUUUCUAAGCAAAAGAAAGAGAAGCUUAAGACUUAAAAAGUAUAAAUAACAAUUUUAAACCUAGAACCCAACAUUCGUCAUAAGCUUAUAAACUUCUGAAACCCUUAAAAACUGUUCACGCGAAUAUCGUUCAUGUCGAUGGAAAGCCACACGAUACAUCUACCUUCUUUUUAUGAUUUUUCAUUCUCAACGAAAACAAUAAGACCAAUAAUGAAAAUAAGGCAUGUCAAGCUAACCAAAAUAUCAAAUAUAGUACCAGACCAGUGGGAACAUCAACACCCUUAACUUAAGAGAAACAGAAGCAGCUUAGAGUUCCAAUGAUGCUUCAUAAUCUACUUAUGGAUGUUAUUGAUCUUCAUAACACUUCCGAAUGUGGCAAAGUUAGACACCACUAGACACGACCCAUUAAUACUUAGAUAUAAGCCACCAUAAGACAUGGAGAAAUGCCUAACCCCUUUGGGAAUAUUGAGAACAAACUUGUGACAAGUAGACCGAAAAUCACCACCAAUGAACUCCAGUGAGCUGUAGAAGAAACUCAAAAUAUAGAAUUGAUACCAAACUUGUAAAAAGUAAUUGAACCAAUAACACGAGCAAACAUAAGACAUUGAUGAAGGGAAACAAAGGAACUAAAGCCCACACACAAGAUAAAGCAAUACACGAUUUUCCAAAGAACUAAACUACCCAACAACAAACUGCAAAAAUCAAUAAAACCUACAUCCU
rnacentral:lncRNA from 1 species